UGUCGCACCAGGAAACAAAAUAGGAGGGUAAAUAUUAAUGAGUCUGUUUCAAUGAAGAGGAAGAAACAUGGAUGAAGUGAAACCAACAACAGCCCAAAAAUCACACCCUAGGGAGAGACUCUACAAAAUUUGGUUUAUGGCAUGUUGCCAGGUUUGCUUAUAAUAAGCAACUUUGGGUUUGAAAAUAUUAGUCAAGUUUUUUAUGGUCUAGUUUAAAAAGUUUAGUUGCUCAUUUCCAGUUCCUCUAGUUUUGAUAACAACUUCAUUUACCGUAUUGACAACAAUUAACAGUCAAAUAUUCAUAUUCAUGCCGUUGGUUCAUUUUCAUGUUGCAUUUUUUCUUUUUUUCUUCAUGCUAAACUAAUGACUGUUGAUAUUGCAGAUAUCGCCAAAUAUUUGCCACUCCACACCCCAGAAUGCAGUUUUACUAUCUUGACUACAGUAUAAAUGGUACAUUUACUCCCAGAGUGGCUGUGUUCUGUCCCUGAGGACAAAUCUCACUCAGUUUUUUGACAGCAGCCAUGGAUUAUGGUCAAGAUUAUCUAAUCCUCCUUAAUCCCUAAACCUCCUUCAUCUGUUUCCUUCACUCUCUGCAUUUUAUUAGCCACACACACACUUUAACUACACUGCUUCUUUUACCAGAGAAAUCAAAUAUGGCUGACUAAUCCCCACUGAAUAUCAUAUUGAGUCACUUUGGACUAUUUUCAACCCAGGGAACUAUGACAGGAAUUAUUAUACACAGACAUGACUUAGUCUUUAUUAUUUUGGGAUGGAGGAGGAGAGAGAGAGAGAAAGAGAGAAAGAGAGAGAGCAUGCAAACUGUCCUGGUUUCUCGCUCCCAUUAUGUCCUUUUUUUCCCACAAUUCUCUGGGGAUGCGCCUAGUCAUCAAACCGAGGCCCCUCUUGCUUUAAAGCAAAUAUGAAAGAAUAGAUGGAAGAACAUCUGGAGCAGUUUUAACAGCUGGAGCACAACUUGUUCCACAGCUGCAGCUAAUGUUCAUCAUUCUUAAAUCUCACAUUAAUAUUUUUUUUUUAAUUGUUAAAGUUUGACAUUGCUUUAACUCCAGACUUUUUUCCCUCCACUUUACCAAUUCCUGUUUUAUUUUGAAAUGUCUCUCCUUGUGUUCCUACAUAUGUUUUACCCCUUGUGUCAUGUGAUGACCUGCCAUGUCAUGUGCACAGGGUUUAGCUAGUUUGUUAGCUGCUGUUUACCUUUAGUCUUUGGACUAGUGUUGCUCCUUCCUGUUCCUUCUCUGGAGUUUCUCCUCCUCCUCGUCCAGACUGAUGAAGAGCUGAAGAUCACAGCACGGUUCCUCACAGACCUUUUCACAUUUCCCACCGACUCCACCAUGGCCACAGAGAUUCCAGGAAGCUUCUUACCAACCAGCAGACACAGGUGUCCUGGAUGAACAUCAACAUCAACACAUCACGUCUCCUCUUUCUGACAGCUGCUCCUGCACACACCUCCUGCCUGCCGAUGUCUUACUCCCGUGUUCACGUGUCGCCUCCUGUUUGUUCGCGGCGUCAACAGCGAGCCGUGCCGGGGUCUCCUGCCGGGCUGUCAGGAGUGCAGUGGAAAUGCAGACAGACAGGCAGGUCAGCAGGCAGAUGGCCAAACAAACAGGGGGGAUUGGAUUAACACCAGUGUCUAAUUGCAUUUGUGAAAAGCAGAGAAGAGCAGCAGAGGAAAAAUGAAUAGCCACAUCCAAAUGAUGACUGAGUUACAGGAGCAGCAUCAUCUCCACCACGUGAACUUUACAAAUCAAGAAGGUCACUGUGGGAUUUAUAACACACAUGUAAAAAACUGCGUAACGUGAAUGCAGCUAAUGUUGUCCUGCUUUUUAAAGAGCUGAACAAAAUUGCAAGUAAAUUAGAUUUACAUCAAAUAAAUCAAAAGGAAAAUGUAAAUAAUGUUUAUUUUACAAAUGUAUCUGCUGAUUUCCUGGAGUUAAAUUCAAUAAAACAGCUUGAUUACAUUAGGGUCUCUAAUGAACAUGUCUCAUAUUUAAAGAAAUACAAAGUGCAGACCUUAAGACGAAACAAGAGACGCAGGGACGUAAUCACAUUUCCUUUUGGCAGAUGCAUUGUCAUAGUCCGACCGCAACGGAGAUCAUGGACUAUUUUAAUGAAUGCAACGCCAACGUGCCGUCUUCUAUAAUACAAUAUUAGCCCCGGAUGUACAGUACAGCUUUAAUGUCUGGUUUUGCUCCGCAGGUUUUUACACAAGAACACAAAAUCACUCUUUCUGUAGACGAUUGAUCAAGUUUAACACAAAGGCUUCUGCACACAGAUAUCUGUGGGUUUUAAUUGAUGUAUAUGUAAAACGUGUUGUGGUUUCUGCAGACCUCAGACCAUAACAUAUAGCUGACCGUGGACCUGGAUUGGCCCCGGAGCCCGAUUUUGGCCUUGCAUUCAUAAUUUAACAAAAAAAAAAUACUUAGAUUUUUGUUUCAUUGUUUGUACACUGUACAUUUGUAAAAUUAAAAAAAAAAUU